UACGUAGGGUCCGAGCGUUGUUCGGAUUCAUUGGGCGUAAAGGGUGCGUAGGCGGCGCGGUAAGUCGGGUGUGAAAUCUCGGAGCUUAACUCCGAAACUGCAUUCGAUACUGCCGUGCUUGAGGACUGGAGAGGAGACUGGAAUUUACGGUGUAGCGGUGAAAUGCGUAGAUAUCGUAAGGAAGACCAGUGGCGAAGGCGGGUCUCUGGACAGUUCCUGACGCUGAGGCACGAAGGCCAGGGGAGCAAACGGG
rnacentral:rRNA from 1 species